rnacentral:rRNA from 1 species
UCACGCGGGAAAUCUUACCGGGUCCGGACACACUGAGGAUUGACAGAUAUAUACCCCGUGAUUUUAUCGCGGGGAUUGAAAGAUGCUAGUUCUUUCAUGAUUAUGUGAUAGGUGGUGCAUGGCCGUUCUUAGUUCGUGGAGUGAUCUGUCUGCUUAAUUGCGUAUCAAUAAUAGAGACCUAGUAUACGCGUAGACUCAUGCGGUAGUGACCCCCCUUCACAGGGCGCGUGUCGCACGUAUGUUAUACGCACAGGUCUCCGAUAGCAACGAACGUGACCGUACUCUAUUGUUGCAGCGACAAUACCUUUCAACGGGUAUUACCGCUGCUUAGCAAGAUUCGUCUUGCAUUAAACUAUAGAGACCGCUGUUUCUUCUUUAAACCAGAGGAAGGAUACGGCAAUAACAGGUCUGUGAUGCCCUCAGAUGUUCCGGGCUGCACACGUGCUACAAUGAUCAUUGCACUGUGCAUCUAACCCAAUGUGCGCGGACGCCGCCGUGCGUAUAUACUUUAUUGUGUAUGCGUAUCGUGCGUGCGACCGCGCCGAACCUGCUUCGAAAGUAAACAUUUCCAGCGGGUAAUCCAUUAGAAGUAAUGACUCGCAUAGACCAUGGCACACUAUAUGUACCCGCGGGUUCUACCCGGCUCGCCUUUGUGUGAGUGCAGUGCGUANCUCGUUGUUUGGUACGUGCCACUCCGUAUUAAUUCAUACGUGGGGAUAGAUCAUUGUUUAAUUGUUGGUCUCGGUCUUAACUAGGAAUGCCUUGUACGGGUCUUUGGUUCAACAUACCACCCG